rfam:Branchiostoma floridae genomic scaffold BRAFLscaffold_201, whole genome shotgun sequence.
GUUUACCUGUGUGUGGAUGGUGUUCAGCACCAAGGACAGGUGUGUUUACCUGUGUGUGGAUGGUGUUCAGCACCAGGGACAGGUGUGUUUACCU